CAAAUACCAUUCAAACUAGCUGAAACCAGUCUUAGUCAUUUUACUUUUUUCUUUUUCUUUAAAAAAAAAAAGUGUUUCAGACCAAUUUAGAUUUGAUGAGCACAACACAAGCAGUAAAAUAUAUUUUGGCAGAUUUUAUCUGACUCAAAAAUGCUUCCAGCUGUGGUUUGCUGUCUAUUUUAGCCUCUACUUUAUGGAGGAGUGUAAAAAUAGAAGACACUGAUGCUAUUUUCUUUUUAUCUACACAUGUAAUAGAGUCUGACAGGUGUAUAUUAAGAACCACAGAUAGAGAGAGAUUUCGG